rnacentral:rRNA from 1 species
GACAGAGGGUGCAACGUUGUUCGGAAUUACUGGGCGUAAAGCGCGUGUAGGCGGCAGGGCAUGUCGGAUGUGAAAUCCCGUGGCUCAACCACGGAAGUGCACCCGAAACUGCCCAGCUUGAGUCUCGGAGAGGAAGGCGGAAUUCCUGGUGGUAGAGGUGAAUUCGUAGAUAUCAGGAGGAACACCAGCGGCGAAGGCGGCUUUCG